rnacentral:rRNA from 1 species
UGCAGUCGAGCGGUAAGGCCCUUUCGGGGGUACACGAGCGGCGAACGGGUGAGUAACACGUGGGUGACCUGCCCUCCACUCUGGGAUAAGCCCGGGAAACUGGGUCUAAUACCGGAUAGGACCACUGAUCGCAUGGUUGGUGGUGGAAAGUUUUUUCGGUGGGGGAUGGGCCCGCGGCCUAUCAGCUUGUUGGUGGGGUGAUGGCCUACCAAGGCGGUGACGGGUAGCCGGCCUGAGAGGGCGACCGGCCACACUGGGACUGAGACACGGCCCAGACUCCUACGGGAGGCAGCAGUGGGGAAUAUUGCGCAAUGGGCGGAAGCCUGACGCAGCGACGCCGCGUGGGGGAUGACGGCCUUCGGGUUGUAAACCUCUUUCGCCAGGGACGAAGAGCAAUUGACGGUACCUGGAGAAGAAGCACCGGCCAACUACGUGCCAGCAGCCGCGGUAACACGUAGGGUGCGAGCGUUGUCCGGAAUUAUUGGGCGUAAAGAGCUCGUAGGCGGUGUGUCGCGUCGGCCGUGAAAACUUGGGGCUUAACUCUGAGCGUGCGGUCGAUACGGGCAUCACUUGAGUUCGGCAGGGGAGACUGGAAUUCCUGGUGUAGCGGUGAAAUGCGCAGAUAUCAGGAGGAACACCGGUGGCGAAGGCGGGUCUCUGGGCCGAUACUGACGCUGAGGAGCGAAAGCGU